AAAAAGUAGCCAGCCCACCAUCCCUAGAUGAUUUUGCAGUCUUUGCACACCAGUGUGGCCAUAGGCUUGUUUUCUCCUGGACUGAGCCUGCAGAUCCUAUGAGCAGGCAUAUGUCCUGUGCUCCACUAGUCCUAGCUGGAUCGUGGACAUAUUACCAUCAUUACAAAUAUCAAUAGUUUGUGAUUACUUCAAACAAUCUGAAGUUGAAGGACCCCAGAUAUCCUUCAAAACAGGAAUCUGCAGGCAGAUGCUGAAACCAUGAAUACAGAGGGACAACUAUGUAAGCUCGUUGACGCUGACAUAGUUUUAUGAAUGCAAACAGCCAAGGAGAGCAGAUGUUGAGUGGUUGCCAGAGUGAAAUGAGGAAGCCCUGCUGCCAGCUUCCCACCAAAAAGCAGGCUCCGGCCCUGAACGCAGGAGAGUUGCUAAAGAAGUUGCUCACAGAGGCGGGAGAGAGCAGGCUACUGGUUUCCUUCAAAAUGGAAUAGGAAACAGAAAACGUGGUGAGCAUCAUUUCUUCGCACUUGAAUCAGCAACAUGACACAGGACUUUGGCAUCAGACUACUAUCACACCAAAAAAAGAGGCUUCACUUGGAGUGCUGCCACUGGAUGGGGCCUGACUUGUUUAUCCGGAAAGAAGUGACUUCCCUGGGAAGAAGGUUGCAUUUGUGAAAGCUUGUGCAGCAUUUCAAGGCUGCAUUCAGGGGCUCUGACCUCCAGUGUCAGCCUUCCAAGGAGAGAAUGGUAGUGUAAUCAUGACUGGAGAGCAACUGUUCCAGAUAAGAAUAUUUUGGCAGAUUUUAAAAGCAACUA
rnacentral:lncRNA from 1 species